GACAAGCUUCUGAAAAAAAAAAGAUCAGCACUAAUAACGCUGCACUACCGGUGAUUUUUCUCCAUGUUUAUAUCCUUCCUUUUCUUUUCUUUUUUUCUUUUGCAGCUUUGGAGGGGAGUCGGGGAGACAAUUAAUAUCACUACAUCAGUGAGGAGGAUCAGAGGAUGGAUCGAUCUUCUUUCUUCUUUUGACGGGGAUGGAUGGAUUCAGAUUUGGCGAAAGCGACGGCGACGCCCUCCCGGUCCCGGAUCUAGGCCAGCGAGCGAGGGCUGGCCGGCCGGCUGCCUGGCUGGUGGCUGCUGCUACUCGAGAUGUUGAGGCCCGGCUGCCGUGGGCCGUCCCGUAUGCUGAAUCAGAUGCCAGCGUAUAGCCUAGCCUAGCCUAGGUAGCCCCGAGUGCGAAUGUGCGAUACUGCUACUAUCAUAUCAUGCUGCUGGUAUCUCGUCUUCGAAGCUCAACCUAAACUUCAUUUCUCUUGCCUGUGCUACAGAGAUAUCUUGUUGUUCCCAAAGACAGAAAAAAAAAGAGGGAACUCAUAUGUAGCAACGGUGUUUCAGUCACCCCAAGGAUCCUCUCCAGAAUAAAGUGAUUUUUUUUUU
rnacentral:lncRNA from 7 species